UACGGGGGGAGCAAGCGUUGUUCGGAUUUACUGGGCGUAAAGGGCGGGUAGGCGGCCACCGCAAGUCGACUGUGAAAUCUCCGGGCUUAACCCGGAAAGGUCAGCCGAUACUGCGGGGCUAGAGUGCAGAAGGGGCAACUGGAAUUCUCGGUGUAGCGGUGAAAUGCGUAGAUAUCGAGAGGAACACCAGUGGCGCAAGCGGCUGACUGGCCGAGACCUGACGCUGAGACACGACGGCGUGGGGAGCAAACCGG
rnacentral:rRNA from 1 species